rnacentral:misc_RNA from 1 species
AAGUCGUAACAAGGUUUCCGUAGGUGAACCUGCGGAAGGAUCAUUAUCACAAAUGAUUUUUAACUCUCUUAAUCCAGAGUUAAACCUCUUCUUAAACCAAUCUAACAAAAUGUGAAAUUGUUUUAUUUUAAGCAACUUGGCAACAAGUUCUUAAAAUUAUUAACCAAUUGAACCCUUUUCUAUAAAUGUUAUUUUAUUUUAAUUUAGUUCUGAAAUAUUAUUACAAACUUUGAUCCUAAUACGAUCGAAAUGUAAUACAUUACAUUACGAAACAAUUUAUAAAUAAAACAACUCUUAGCAACGGAUAUCUUGGUUCUC